rnacentral:rRNA from 1 species
UACAGAGGUCCCAAGCGUUGUUCGGAUUCACUGGGCGUAAAGGGUGCGUAGGCGGUCGGGUAAGUCUGAUGUGAAAUCUCACAGCUUAACUGUGAAACUGCAUUGGAUACUAUCCGGCUUGAGGAAUGGAGGGGAGACUGGAAUACUUGGUGUAGCAGUGAAAUGCGCAGAUAUCAGGAGGAACACCGGUGGCGAAGGCGGGUCUCUGGGCCGAUACUGACGCUGAGGAGCGAAAGCGUGGGGAGCGAACAGG